AGUAGUAUUGCUGGGUCAUAGAGUACAUCUAUGUUUCACCUUUUGAGAAACUACCAAACUGUUUUCUAAAAUGGCUGCACCAUUUUAUAUUCCCUCCAGCAAC
rnacentral:pre_miRNA from 1 species